rnacentral:misc_RNA from 1 species
GAUGAAGAACGUAGUGAACGUGCGAAACGUAAUGUGAAUUGCAGAAUUCCGUGAGUCAUCGAAUCUUUGAACGCACAUUGCGCCCUCUGGUAUUCCGGAGGGCAUGCCUGUCUGAGCGUCAUUGUCAACCCUCAAGCUCAGCUUGCUGUUGGGUCCCCGUCGUUGCUUUAACGGCGGACCCGAAAGGUAAUGGCAGAGUCCGUGAGACCCUAGACGCAGCGAGCUUCUAGCACGCGUCUGGACGUUUUUCGGGCUCGGUCUUAACUAGAUGAUAACUUCCGAUUGACCUCAGAUCAGGUAGGGAUACCCGCUGAACUUAAGCAUAUCAAUAAGCGGAGGA